rnacentral:tRNA from 1 species
GCCUGGGUGGCUCAGUCGGUUGGGCACCCGACUUCGGCUCAGGUCAUGAUCUCAGUUUGUGGGUUCGAGCCCCGUGUCGGGCU